GCCUUCGUGGUGUAGUGGUCAGCACGCUGGGCGCGUAUUCCAGAGGUCCGUGGUUCGAGUCCCGGUGAAGGCU
rnacentral:tRNA from 1 species